AAGGAUAACACACAUCACUCUGGCUUCAACUCUCUUCAGCUCCACUGCUCGUCCUCUCCAAACCCUAGCUAUUCUCUUCUGAUACACUAAUUUCCUCCCCAUACAAUGCAAAUGGCGGGAAUCUCUCCUCUGUCAUUGACCAAAGUCCCAUCUUCGCUUAGCAUCGAAGCUUCUUCCCCAUGCUUUCGAGUGCCCAGCAAUCGGUCGAUGUUCUGCUACAGAAGUAUAAAGAAAUACCCGACAAUCUACGCUGCAACAGCUGAAACACCUACCGCCUCCUCAAUGGAUGCGGGGGCGAAGCGUCGGCUCUACGUGGGCAAUAUUCCUAGAACAGUCAGUAAUGAGGAGCUGGCUAAUAUUUUUGGAGAGCAUGGUUCAGUUGAGAAGGCUGAGGUUAUGUAUGACAAAUACUCUGGAAGAAGCCGACGCUUUGCAUUUGUUACUAUGGCUUCCAUAGAUGAUGCUGAUGCUGCUAUAGAGAAGCUAAAUGAAAAGGAAAUUGGCGGCCGGAAGAUUAAAGUUAAUGUGACAGAAAAACCGUUGAACCCUAUUGAUCUAUCUCAACUCCAAGCUGAUGAAUCUAAGUUUAUUGAUAGCCCCUAUAAAGUUUAUGUAGGCAACCUUGCAAAGACAGUCACAACAAAAUUACUGACAAAGUUAUUUUCAGAGAAAGGAAAGGUUCUUAGUGCAAAAGUUUCUCGGGUGCCUGGGACCUCAAAAUCAAGUGGCUUUGGAUUUAUUUCAUUCUCUUCUGAAGAAGAUGUGGUAGCUGCUAUUUCCUCAUUUAACAAUAGUUUGUUCGAAGGGCAAAAGAUCCGUGUUAAUAGGGCAUAGCAGUACUGAUCUAUCUCAGCAUACAGGAAGAGUAUUCUGAUUUGUAUGCCAGGAGUUUUUGGUUGAUGGUUAAAGAAGGUUGGUGAAGGUAAAAAAGUGGAGUCGUCAUGAAUAUCUCAUUAUUGGGGUUAUUUGAGGUUUAUCUACCCGGCGCUCCUGCCUUAGAUUUUCUAGGAACAAUUGAAAUGGCCCUUGUAAUUUUUAUCAUCAAUGCUAUAAUAAUAUUAUUUUGUAAUUUUCUAUAUGUGUUUUAUCAGGUUUUUAUCCCCCUGGUCAACAAGAAUAAUUUAUUUUAGCUUUCCUCCAUUGAUGAGCUAGUUGAUUGAGUAUUAAAAAUGGCGACAAUUCUUUGCAUUGU